rnacentral:rRNA from 1 species
AGACCUCUGAUCAGAAAAGACUACCCGCUGAAUUUAAGCAUAUCACUAAGCGGAGGAGAAGAAACUAACCAGGAUUUCCCUAGUAACGGCGAGCGAACCGGAAAGAGCCCAGCUUGAAAAUCGCGGCGCUGCGCGCCGCGAGUUGUAGUCUGGAGAAGCGUCCUC